rnacentral:rRNA from 1 species
CAAUAGCGUAUAUUAAAGUUGUUGCAGUUAAAAAGCUCGUAGUUGGAUUUCGGGGCAGCCUGGCUGGUCCGCCGCAAGGCGAGUACUGGUCAGCCGCCCUUCCUCUCGAAAGCCCCGACUGCUCUUUAUUGCAGUGGUCGGGUAGUUCGGGACGUUUACUUUGAAAAAAUUAGAGUGUUCAAGGCAGGCCUACGCCUGAAUACAUUAGCAUUGAAUAAUGGAAGAGGACCUCGGUCCUAUUUUGUUGGUUUCCAGGACCGAAGUAAUGAUUAAGAGGGACAGUUGGGGGCAUUCGUAUUUAAUUGUCAGAGGUGAAAUUCUCGGAUUUAUGAAAGACGAACAACUGCGAAAGCAUUUGCCAAGGAUGUUUUCAUUAA